rnacentral:rRNA from 1 species
AGGGCACCACCAGGAGUGGAGCCUGCGGCUUAAUUUGACUCAACACGGGAAAACUCACCCGGCCCGGACACUGGAAGGAUUGACAGAUUGAGAGCUCUUUCUUGAUUCAGUGGGUGGUGGUGCAUGGCCGUUCUUAGUUGGUGGAGCGAUUUGUCUGGUUAAUUCCGAUAACGAACGAGACUCUAGCCUACUAAAUAGAUCGCCGGUUUACAAACAUCGGUGAGACUUCUUAGAGGGACAGGCGGCGAUUCAGCCGCACGAAACAGAGCAAUAACAGGUCUGUGAUGCCCUUAGAUGUCCGGGGCCGCACGCGCGCUACACUGAAGUGAUCAGCGUGCUUUUUAAGCCUACUCUGCCAAGAGUGGGAAACCCAAUGAACCUUCUUCGUGAUUGGGAUAGGAGAUUGUAAUUAUUCUCCUUGAACGAGGAAUUCCCAGUAAGCGCGAGUCAUAAGCUCGCGUUGAUUACGUCCCUGCCCUUUGUACACACCGCCCGUCGCUACUACCGAUUGAAUGUUUU